UACAGAGGGUGCAAGCGUUAAUCGGAAUUACUGGGCGUAAAGCGAGCGCAGGCGGUUAUGUAAGACAGAUGUGAAAUCCCAGGGCUUAACCUUGGAACUGCAUUUGUGACUGCAUGGCUAGAGUGUGUCAGAGGGGGGUGGAACUCCACGUGUAGCAGUGAAAUGCGUAGAGAUGUGGAGGAAUACCGAUGGCGAAGGCAGCCCCCUGGGAUAACACUGACGCUCAUGCACGAAAGCGUGGGGAGCAAACAGG
rnacentral:rRNA from 1 species